rnacentral:rRNA from 1 species
CCAAUAGCGUAUAUUAAAGUUGCUGCAGUUAAAAAGCUCGUAGUUGAAUUUCGGGAUCAAUAUGUUGGUCGUGCCUCGGUACGUACUAGCUUAUUGGUUUCUUCCUUCUGACGAACCAUAAUGUCAUUUAUUUGGUGUUAUGGGGAAUCAGGACUGUUACUUUGAAAAAAUUAGAGUGUUUAAAGCAGGCUCACGCUUGAAUACAUUAGCAUGGAAUAAUGAAAUAGGACGUUUGAUUCUAUUUUGUUGGUUUCUAGGAUCGACGUAAUGAUUAAUAGGGAUAGUUGGGGGCAUUAGUAUUCAAUUGUCAGAGGUGAAAUUCUUGGAUUUAUUGAAGACUAACUACUGCGAAAGCAUUUGCCAAGGAUGUUUUCAUUAAUCAAGAACGAAAGUUAGGGGAUCGAAGACGAUCAGAUACCGUCGUAGUCUUAACCAUAAACUAUGCCGACUAGGGAUCGGAUGAUGUUAAUUUUUUAAUGACUCAUUCGGCGCCUUACGGGAAACCAAAGUGUUUGGGUC